rnacentral:lncRNA from 1 species
UAAGAGUUGCAGCCAACUUUGAAAUUAAGACAGAAGAUAACUUAAAAGUCUUUUAACAGAAGUUAUGGGAAUCUCUCUCCAAAAAGGGGAUUAAUGAUAAGGAAAAGGCAAUAUAAAGGAAAGGAGACAGGCAUGUGAGAGGUAAGGUAUGUAGGAUGAUGGAGGCAUGCACUAACCAGAUGGUUCAUGGAGUUGAAAGAGAAAUGAGGGGCUGGCUGUUAAUGGAUAUAUCAUGUGAUAUCUUGCAUGCUUCAACUCAUUGGUGUCUUUUUAAUUUGUAACACCCCCGUUUCAAAUAUGAGAAAAAUUUG